GAACACAAAAUACAGUAAGUUUUUUUAUAGGUGAACACAAAAUACAGUUUUUCGUGUCAUGAGAUUUAAAGCCUUUUUAAACAAAAAGCUUUAACUUUUAAAAUUUUAAUACAUGUACCGGUAAUUAAUAGUUUUACAAAUAAAUGAUAUUAAAGAAAUUACUUCUAAGUUGUUUUUUUUAAACAUUAUGUCAUACCAUAACAUAAUUUUGUGUUCAUAUAUGUUUGAAUGAUCUAUUCUUAAUGUUACAAAAUAUAGAAUGAAACCAUUUUUUUUUAAACCCCAUAUUUAUAAUAAACACAAAUAAUUCAUUCAUCUUCAAAGCAGAUUUUUUUUUAAAUUAGGCUAGUUGAGACCAUGAUCCAAAGAGAUAAAAUUCAGUCUCCCUAAAAAAAAUUAGUCCAUUAGAUUGUCUUGAAUAUUUUGUUUAAAUGUUAUAGAAGAUUGGGAAAAUGGGGGUGGGAGUAAAUUUCACAUAAUUAUGUUUUUUUUUAGCUUUGAAACUAAGGUGGUUUCUAAUAAUGUUCAUCAUUUAUCUUUUUUAAUUAAUUUUUAUUUUUACAGAGCUCCACUUUUUUUUUUGUCUUUGUAAUGUUACCUCAAAAUAUUUUGUUAAACAUGCAAAUAAAACUAUCAAAAUCAU